CCGGCACGGGUGAGUAACACGUAUCCAACCUGCCGUCUACUCUUGGACAGCCUUCUGAAAGGAAGAUUAAUACAAGAUGGCAUCAUGAGUCCGCAUGUUCACAUGAUUAAAGGUAUUCCGGUAGACGAUGGGGAUGCGUUCCAUUAGAUAGUAGGCGGGGUAACGGCCCACCUAGUCUUCGAUGGAUAGGGGUUCUGAGAGAAAGGUCCCCCACAUUGGAACUGAGACACGGUCCAA
rnacentral:rRNA from 1 species